CCUCCUUCCUCUGCUGCAGGGACAGCCUGGGCCUCUUCCCAGGGGGCCUCGCGCCAGGACGCAGGAGCACGCCCACUGGGGGCGGGGCUCUGUCCUGCAACUGCUCCCAGCGUCCGUUGCGGCGGUUGGCUCCCAGAGGCGCGCAUGCGCUAACGGCAGGGGGGGUCCCCAACUGCCGCCCAGGCUGCGCGUGGGGCCUGGCAUGGCGGCCUCCGGAGUCCGUUAGGUAAACAGGGAGAGGAGCAUCGUCAUGAAGGUCAAAACCUGAAAAGAAGAUCUGAACGUGUCUGGGCACGCGUGGGAAGUGUUCAGAAGGAGAAGCUGCUCCGUUGGGUGCCGUGGACCUGGCAUGGCCGUCCGCAGAACCAGGCCUGACCUGCCCGGUCCAGCCCACGCCUGUGGGCGGAGCUCCCUGACUGCGUGAGUCCUCCUCCCUCCAAUGUCCUUCCCGUGGGAGCGGGUGCGAUCAGCGACUCCUGCGGGUCUAAAGCCCAGGGAGCUGCCGGAACGUGAGGUGCUGCCAUGGAAAGCACAGCUGGUACAGCUCCGGACUGGCCAUUGGUCCGCGGAGCACACCAGUCACGGCAGCGCACCGUCUUCUCAGGUGACACACGGCCAAUGGCCCGGGAGCUAAACUGCUUCUUGGGACAGGAUAUGAACAAAUGAUGAAAUGUGAAAUUCAGAAUUCUA